UACGUAGGGUGCAAGCGUUGUCCGGAAUUAUUGGGCGUAAAGAGCUCGUAGGCGGUCUGUUACGUCGGCUGUGAAAACCUGGGGCUCAACCCCGGGCCUGCAGCCGAUACGGGCAGACUAGAAUUCGGUAGGGGAGACUGGAAUUCCUGGUGUAGCGGUGAAAUGCGCAGAUAUCAGGAGGAACACCAGUGGCGAAGGCGGUGCUCUGGGCCGGAACUGACGCUGAGGAGCGAAAGCGUGGGGAGCAAACAGG
rnacentral:rRNA from 1 species